rnacentral:rRNA from 1 species
GAGUUUGAUCAUGGCUCAGGACGAACGCUGGCGGCGUGCCUAAUACAUGCAAGUAGAACGCUGAAGAGAGGAGCUUGCUCUUCUUGGAUGAGUUGCGAACGGGUGAGUAACGCGUAGGUAACCUGCCUUGUAGCGGGGGAUAACUAUUGGAAACGAUAGCUAAUACCGCAUAACAAUAGGUGACACAUGUCAUUUAUUUGAAAGGGGCAAUUGCUCCACUACAAGAUGGACCUGCGUUGUAUUAGCUAGUAGGUGAGGUAACGGCUCACCUAGGCGACGAUACAUAGCCGACCUGAGAGGGUGAUCGGCCACACUGGGACUGAGACACGGCCCAGACUCCUACGGGAGGCAGCAGUAGGGAAUCUUCGGCAAUGGGGGCAACCCUGACCGAGCAACGCCGCGUGAGUGAAGAAGGUUUUCGGAUCGUAAAGCUCUGUUGUAAGUCAAGAACGAGUGUGAGAGUGGAAAGUUCACACUGUGACGGUAGCUUACCAGAAAGGGACGGCUAACUACGUGCCAGCAGCCGCGGUAAUACGUAGGUCCCGAGCGUUGUCCGGAUUUAUUGGGCGUAAAGCGAGCGCAGGCGGUUUGAUAAGUCUGAAGUUAAAGGCUGUGGCUCAACCAUAGUUCGCUUUGGAAACUGUCAAACUUGAGUGCAGAAGGGGAGAGUGGAAUUCCAUGUGUAGCGGUGAAAUGCGUAGAUAUAUGGAGGAACACCGGUGGCGAAAGCGGCUCUCUGGUCUGUAACUGACGCUGAGGCUCGAAAGCGUGGGGAGCGAACAGGAUUAGAUACCCUGGUAGUCCACGCCGUAAACGAUGAGUGCUAGGUGUUGGAUCCUUUCCGGGAUUCAGUGCCGCAGCUAACGCAUUAAGCACUCCGCCUGGGGAGUACGACCGCAAGGUUGAAACUCAAAGGAAUUGACGGGGGCCCGCACAAGCGGUGGAGCAUGUGGUUUAAUUCGAAGCAACGCGAAGAACCUUACCAGGUCUUGACAUCCCGAUGCUAUUUCUAGAGAUAGAGAGUUACUUCGGUACAUCGGUGACAGGUGGUGCAUGGUUGUCGUCAGCUCGUGUCGUGAGAUGUUGGGUUAAGUCCCGCAACGAGCGCAACCCCUAUUGUUAGUUGCCAUCAUUCAGUUGGGCACUCUAGCGAGACUGCCGGUAAUAAACCGGAGGAAGGCGGGGAUGACGUCAAAUCAUCAUGCCCCUUAUGACCUGGGCUACACACGUGCUACAAUGGUUGGUACAACGAGUUGCGAGUCGGUGACGGCAAGCUAAUCUCUUAAAGCCAAUCUCAGUUCGGAUUGUAGGCUGCAACUCGCCUACAUGAAGUCGGAAUCGCUAGUAAUCGCGGAUCAGCACGCCGCGGUGAAUACGUUCCCGGGCCUUGUACACACCGCCCGUC